rnacentral:lncRNA from 1 species
GAUGUGGGGUCUAGGACACAGAUCUUACAAUUGUGAGAGAUGCAGGAAUGACUUUAUCAGCCGUGCGGCUUUGAGAUACCAUUUUCAAGCCAAACAUCUUGGGAAAGAUGGCACUGAAUUUUUAAGAAAGAACAUUGUGCCAGAGAGUUUGUCACAUCAUGCAAAGACUGACCAUGAAAUAACACAGAUGGAAAACCUAUGGUGUGGCUGGACUAUGGCUCUUAAGAGGAAAACAAAAUCUGGAACUGUGGGAGUAUCUACAUCGUGCAGAAUGUGCAACAGGCAAUUUGGGACAGUCCAUGCUAGAGAAAACCAUGAGAAACAAGAGCAUCACUUCACUGCCAGCAAAAGAGCACAAAUGUCCAUUGGAUUUAAACCUGAAAGCAUCUUAGAAUAUAAAACACCAAUGGAAAUCAAUAAUUUUAUGGAAGCAAAUCUCCGACCCACCCAAGGCCCUGUAAGAUUAGGCUGUGCAUCAGAAGUUGAAGGAAUUAUUGGCUCAAUCAAAGAAGAGUUUCCAUUGCCAAUAACUUGCAUCAUUAAGGUAUAGAUGAUCCCAUGCCCCACUUGAAAAUUAUCAUCACAGUAUGUUCUUUUUUCACUAAAGGAAGAGGGCUGGCAUUCCAUAUUUAAUUACUUUUCCAUAUGUGUGUGUAUAUAUGCAUUAAAUGCUCAUUAGUUCCCUAUGGUGCAGAGAUCCUGUUUUAUGAAUGCUCAAAGUGCAAUAUUUUA